rnacentral:rRNA from 1 species
UACGUAGGGUGCAAGCGUUGUCCGGAAUUAUUGGGCGUAAAGAGCUCGUAGGCGGCUUGUCGCGUCGACUGUGAAAAACCCGCGGCUCAACCGUGUGGUCUGCAGUCGAUACGGGCAGGCUAGAGUUCGGUAGGGGAGACUGGAAUUCCUGGUGUAGCGGUGAAAUGCGCAGAGUAUCAGGAGGAACACCGGUGGCGAAGGCGGGUCUCUGGGGCCGAUACUGACGCUGAGGAGCGAAAGCGUGGGGAGCGAACAGG